GAUGAACGCUAGCGGCAGGCCUAAUACAUGCAAGCCGAACGGCCAGUUUGAUAGCUAUAUUGUACCUAGAGUGGCGCACGGGUGCGUAACACGUAUGCAACCUGCCCGCGACAGGCGGAUAGCUCCCCGAAAGGGGAAUUAACCCUCCAUAACACCAUUAGAAGCCCUCUGAUUAUGGUUAAACCGCAAGUGGUCUCGGAUGGGCAUGAGGUUGAUUAGCUAGUUGGCGGGGUAAAGGCACACCAAGGCGGUGAUCAAUAGGGGUUCUGAGAGGAAGGUCCCACACACUGGCACUGAGAUACGGGCCAGACGGAUACGGGAGGCAGCAGUAGGGAAGAUAGGACAAUGGGUGUAAGACUGAACCAGCCAGGCAGUGUGGAGGAAGAAGGCAUUCUGGGUCGGAAACUGCUUUGUCCUGUGGAUAAAAAACCAGUGAGCGGGGAAUUGAAGGUAACAGGGGAAUAAGCCACGGCUAACUACGUG
rnacentral:rRNA from 1 species